AGUGAACGCUGGCGGUAGGCCUAACACAUGCAAGUCGAACGGCAGCACAGUAAGAGCUUGCUCUUACGGGUGGCGAGUGGCGGACGGGUGAGGAAUACAUCGGAAUCUACUUUUUCGUGGGGGAUAACGUAGGGAAACUUACGCUAAUACCGCAUACGACCUACGGGUGAAAGCAGGGGAUCUUCGGACCUUGCGCGAUUGAAUGAGCCGAUGUCGGAUUAGCUAGUUGGCGGGGUAAAGGCCCACCAAGGCGACGAUCCGUAGCUGGUCUGAGAGGAUGAUCAGCCACACUGGAACUGAGGCACGGUCCAGACUCCUACGGGAGGCAGCAGUGGGGAAUAUUGGACAAUGGGCGCAAGCCUGAUCCAGCCAUACCGCGUGGGUGAAGAAGGCCUUCGGGUUGUAAAGCCCUUUUGUUGGGAAAGAAAAGCAGCAGGUUAAUACCCCGCUGUUCUGACGGUACCAAAAGAAUAAGCACCGGCUAACUUCGUG
rnacentral:rRNA from 1 species